rnacentral:snRNA from 1 species
AUGCUCGCUUUGGCGGCACAUAUACUAAAAUCGGAAGAAUACAGAGAAGAUUAGCAUGGCCACUGUGCAAGGAUGAUACAUAAAUUCAUGAAGUGCUCCAUAUUAAA